rnacentral:rRNA from 1 species
GACGAACGCUGGCGGCGUGCUUAACACAUGCAAGUCGAACGGAAAGGCCCUGCUUUUGUGGGGUGCUCGAGUGGCGAACGGGUGAGUAACACGUGAGUAACCUGCCCUUGACUUUGGGAUAACUUCAGGAAACUGGGGCUAAUACCGGAUAGGAGCUCCUGCUGCAUGGUGGGGGUUGGAAAGUUUCGGCGGUUGGGGAUGGACUCGCGGCUUAUCAGCUUGUUGGUGGGGUAGUGGCUUACCAAGGCUGUGACGGGUAGCCGGCAUGAGAGGGUGACCGGCCACAUUGGGCCUGAGGUACGGCCCAGACUGCUACGGGAGGCAGCAGUGGGGAAUAUUGCACAGUGGGCGGAAGCCUGAUGCAGCAACGCCGCGGGCGGGAUGACGGCCUUCGGGUUGUAAACCGCUUUCGCCUGUGACGAAGCGUGAGUGACGGUAAUGGGUAAAGAAGCACCGGCUAACUACGUG